CAUAAUACAACAAUUCUGAAAUAAUCACUAUAUUGCUAGACAAUCCAUUAAUGAUACAUCACUAGAUUGGUCUGACUAUGAAUACAAAAUGCCUGUGAAAAGGUUAAGUGCAGGUUUUCUCUCUUAAUUUACUACAAGUCCAAACUGGUAGAUAACAGCAC